rnacentral:lncRNA from 1 species
AAAGGGAAAGCAGAGAGAGAGACCUUUGAGGUGAUGAGACCUUGGCGACAUGUGAACUACUCAUUGACUAACAAGACGAUUAGAAAUUGGUAAGUUGUUACUUUUGAUUGCUCUUUUUUUUCCCUAGAGGAUAGUUUUUUGACUAAG